rnacentral:rRNA from 1 species
GAUGAACGCUGGCGGCGUGCUUAACACAUGCAAGUCGAACGGAAAGGCUCCUGCUUGCAGGGGUACUCGAGUGGCGAACGGGUGAGUAACACGUGGGUGAUCUGCCCUGCACUUCGGGAUAAGCCUGGGAAACUGGGUCUAAUACCGGAUAGGACGAUGGUUUGGAUGCCAUUGUGGAAAGUUUUUCGGUGUGGGAUGAGCUCGCGGCCUAUCAGCUUGUUGGUGGGGUAAUGGCCUACCAAGGCGUCGACGGGUAGCCGGCCUGAGAGGGUGUACGGCCACAUUGGGACUGAGAUACGGCCCAGACUCCUACGGGAGGCAGCAGUGGGGAAUAUUGCACAAUGGGCGCAAGCCUGAUGCAGCGACGCCGCGUGGGUGAUGACGGCCUUCGGGUUGUAAACUCCAUUCGCUAGGGACGAAGCGUUUUGUGACGGUACCUGGAGAAGAAGCACCGGCUAACUACGUG